rnacentral:rRNA from 1 species
GAUGAACGCUGGCGGCGUGCCUAAUACAUGCAAGUCGAGCGAACAGACGGGGAGCUUGCUCCUCUGACGUUAGCGGCGGACGGGUGAGUAACACGUGGAUAACCUACCUAUAAGACUGGGAUAACUUCGGGAAACCGGAGCUAAUACCGGAUAAUAUAUUGAACCGCAUGGUUCAAUAGUGAAAGACGGUUUUGCUGUCACUUAUAGAUGGAUCCGCGCCGCAUUAGCUAGUUGGUAAGGUAACGGCUUACCAAGGCAACGAUGCGUAGCCGACCUGAGAGGGUGAUCGGCCACACUGGAACUGAGACACGGUCCAGACUCCUACGGGAGGCAGCAGUAGGGAAUCUUCCGCAAUGGGCGAAAGCCUGACGGAGCAACGCCGCGUGAGUGAUGAAGGUCUUCGGAUCGUAAAACUCUGUUAUUAGGGAAGAACAAAUGUGUAAGUAACUAUGCACGUCUUGACGGCACCUAAUCAGAAAGCCACGGCUAACUACGUG